GACGUAGGGCGCGAGCGUUGUCCGGAUUUAUUGGGCGUAAAGAGCUCGUAGGCGGCUUGUCGCGUCGAAUGUGAAAACUCGGGGCUCAACUCCGAGCUUGCAUUCGAUACGGGCAGGCUAGAGUUCGGUAGGGGAGACUGGAAUUCCUGGUGUAGCGGUGAAAUGCGCAGAUAUCAGGAGGAACACCGGUGGCGAAGGCGGCUAUCUGGCCCAACACUGACACUGAGACCCGAAAGCGUGGGGAUCAAACAGG
rnacentral:rRNA from 1 species